GCUGGGCACAGUGGCACAUGCCUGUAGUCUCAGCUACUUGGGAGGCUGAGGCAGGAGGAUUGCAAGUUCAAGACCAGCUUGGGCAGUUUGGUGAGACCCUGUCUCAA
rnacentral:sRNA from 1 species